GACGAACGCUGGCGGCGUGCCUAACACAUGCAAGUCGAACGGGGUUGUUCCUUCGGGGACAACUUAGUGGCGAACGGGUGAGUAACGCGUGAGGAACCUGCCUCUCAGUGGGGGACAACAGUUGGAAACGACUGCUAAUACCGCAUAACGUAUUCGAAGGGCAUCCUUUGGAUACCAAAGAUUUAUUGCUGAGAGAUGGCCUCGCGUCUGAUUAGCUAGUUGGUGGGGUAACGGCCUACCAAGGCGACGAUCAGUAGCCGGACUGAGAGGUUGAACGGCCACAUUGGGACUGAGAUACGGCCCAGACUCCUACGGGAGGCAGCAGUGGGGAAUAUUGGGCAAUGGGGGAAACCCUGACCCAGCAACGCCGCGUGAAGGAAGAA
rnacentral:rRNA from 1 species